rnacentral:lncRNA from 10 species
GUAUCUUGCACUUAUUUUUAGUGGUAUCAAAUAAAGCAUUCUUUGUACUUUCUGAAGAUUUAUUAAGACACUAGUAAGCCUUUAUGCAUUUGUGCUAAGGGAAAAAGGAAGAGCACAUUACACACAUGCACACACAUGCACACAUGCACAUUACACACACAUACACACAUGCACACACAUGUGCACACAUUACACACACGCACACAUGCACAUUACACACACAUAUACACAUGCACACACAUGCACACAUAUGCACAUUACACACACAUGCACACAUGCAAGAUUGUUGGGUACAGUGAGGAAAGGGUUUUUCAGGUGCUUCUUUUUUAACUGCUAAUUCAUGGUAUUUACAGAAAAGUCAGAAAAUAUAUAGUAUGUAAAAAGGGAAAAAAUGGAAAUCACUUUUAAUUGAAGCUCCCAGAAUUAAUCAUUGUCAGUAUUUUUGGCUACACUCCUAAUAUUAGUGUCUUUAAAGAGAAUAUCCUGUGUUCUUUUAGAAAAGAAUAGGAAAUAAAUUAAAGGACAGGCCCUGCUGUGUCUCUCUGCCCCCAUCUCCUGGAAUCUAGCUCCCUUUUCCCUGCCGGGGAGGAGCAAUAAACUGUGAAGCCCUCCCUGUGCCACCUGCCUCACCCCACCCUGAUCCCUCCGACCCCAUGAAGAGAUGUCAACUUCCACUUGGCCAGAGUUUUAAAUCCACAAAACUUGAAGAUUAGAGCGAAAUAACUAAAAUGAACUUUUAGUUUCUGUCUUCUUACCUAACAUACAAUUUGGUUAGAUUUGCACAAAUUAGUGGCAUGUGGUGGCACGCACCUGCAGUCCCAGCUACUCAGGAGGUAGGGCAGGAGGAUUUCUUGAGGCCAGGAGUUUGAGGCUGCAGUGAGCUAUGAUCACGCCACUGUACUUCAGCCUAGGUGACAGGGCAAGAGCCUAUCUCUUUUAAAAAGAGUUUUUAAAAGAUCUGCACAAAUGAAGAAUAUGUGUUUGCAAUGGGCUGUCUUAUUAUGGGCAUUUCAUGGUGCUCAUAAAACUCACAUUUGGGAGGAUUCUCUGUAGCAUCUGUAUUCAGGGAGCAAAUUAAGCAAAACAAUACAAACUCAUGAAUGCAAAAUGUAGCACAAAAGUAAAUAUUCAGAAUGAGAAAAGAUUUCACAACAAAUAACAUAUCUUUUAAAACUAACAAAUACUGCAAGUGCCACAAAAGGCAAAGAAAAAAAUAUAAUCUGUUUAUUAACUGGCUGACCCACUACCAUAAUAUUUUCCACAGACUAGUUUUUUUUGUUUUGUUUUGUUUUGUUUUUGUUUUUGAGACAGGGUCUUACUCUGUCAUCCAGUCUGGAACGC